AUGGCUCUCAGCAGGCCUUCUGUAAGCCAGGGAGCAAGGAAUGAGAUUUUUAACGUAGAAAGGAAUGAUGUAAGAAUGUGUUACCUUGCUUUUUGUCUCUUUUUUUUUUUCCAAGUGAUUUGUAAGGAUGUUCCACAACACACGAUGCUGCUGGGACUCCCACUGCCAACACUACAACUCUGUGAGAGCUGGACAUCUCAUUCUUUCACCUCCUGUCCCUUAACCAGUUAUUUCUCUGCCAGAGAACCCUACCAUUUAUACCGGGACUCUUUCAUUUCUUUAAGAGACAUUCACAAGAGGCCUUGUCUGAACUCUUUGAAAAUCCAGGUGCACCUAGGUUACCGUCACCCACCUCUCUUGUUUGCUGCAGCCACCACAGCUUUACAGGUUGCCUUCACGGUCCAGGCAAUGAUGUGAACAAGAGAUAUCAAAUGCUCAGGGAAACUCUUGGUUGGAACAAACUCCUUCCCUCAUCUCAGUAAUAUCCAGGCACGUCUUAGAAAAGUAUGAAUUAGCGAUAAGAAAGGAAAUUAAAAAUUGCCAUCUUGCUAUACACAAAGGAUGAAAAGCAAGACUUGGGAGUGAGAAAGCUUUCUUCUUACGGGAAUUGGAACUGAAUGUGUGAUGCAAGCAGUCUCAUGAAAAGGGCACUGUCUGACAAGCACAGCCACCAUUAAAACCACUAUUGUAUAAGCUCACUAUUUCCUUGAGCUCACUAUUUCCUUGUUACGUUUCGCGUAACGUAUAUUAAGACUGUAUUUAUAAGAUGCACUCUAAACUUUGCAUUAAAGAACAGCCCUGCUACUGAAAUAGACGUAAUUCAUUUACUAACAGCCCUUGUUGCUGUGCUCCAAUAAUGUAAUUGCUUUCAUUGUGUCCCAACCAUAUGAUUAUUCCUGUUGUGUAGGAAAUUUAAGUCCAAGGAAUGUCAGAUCAAAUAUAAAAGCCUAGUGCUUACCCAUAGUUUUUAUUCAAUUAAGUAGCUAUUACAGAGCUCAUGCUAUUUCACAUGACAUAAUGCAGAACGCAAACGUAGUCCCUUAUUACAGACAUAUGUUCAUCUAAACAAAAUGAC
rnacentral:lncRNA from 7 species